UAACUGAAGUCGUUCGCCUGAAGACUGACUAUCAACACUUCUACAGUCGAUCUUCAGAUAGCUAAACGCUGACGCCCAAUCCACCGCGCAGCGUCCCCGCGCCCGCACGCCGCCAGCCCGCGCGCCGUCGCGCCCGCCUCCGUCCUCGGCUGCUCGGCACUUCGGCGGGCACGGCCUGGACUGCGCCCGUCGCACGCCGACCACCGUCCACCGCGACGGCCGACGGCGCAGCAGGCAGCACGGAGGGCCCGACGCAGAUCCGCCCGCCCUAGCACUUUAUGGCACGAUACAAUAGUCAAUAUUCAUUACACUGAAGAUAUAAGAUACAGAAAUACGGUACAUUUUUUUCUACUAGUUAACUAAUCUCAGAAGCAAUGCUCUAGGGAGCACCUUAAAUUUCCUCAAAGUAAUUGGGGCUUUUGUUGUUUAUGUUCCCACUUCUCCUAGCUCUUCUAAGCAUGGCAAGUCGUUCUGCUACCUCCUUCAUCUCUGGACGAUCUUCUACAACAUGUGCUAAACACUUCACAGCCAGUCUGCCAAUCUCUUCCAGUAUGUGACAACGGAAUGACUCGACAACUAAUUUUGGUAAUUCGUCGGCUUAUCCAUUUGGGCAGCUGAUGGUCUAUAUGUACAAUGCCCAACCAGCUGUAAACAAAAGAAACAAUUCGGGCUGAAAGUCAAUUGAUCGUGGUUAACAAGAUUAGCAAGAGCGGCAAAAGGCUCUCGUGGUGACGACAUCCUUGUGUUCAAGCAACUAGCAACAACUGGGCAACCCCACAGCAGAAGGCCAAGGAGAGGAGCAGACCCCAGAAGGCAGAGAGUGAGGAGGUGCCAGCAGGCAGCCUCGGCUUGGGCCAUGUGUGCGUGUGUUGUGUAAUCAGGCUGUUGGGCCGACCAAGGCCUGCGUGCCUGUGUGUGGUUAAGUAGGUGGUCGACCCACUGUGUGAAUCAUCGAAGAAUACAGACUUGGAUCCACAAAGAUCAGGCAAGAUCCGAUCUACCUUUCCCCU